GUUUAAAAACAUAAUUUUGUAGGUAUAUCAUCUUUGUGCUUGUGUAAAAUGAAGAAGACGGCAUUUUUGAAUGGUUAGAAUUAACUAAUCAGAACAAGCUAGUCAGUGCAUUUCCAUCAAACAAAGAUGACAAGAUUAUUUAGCUCCACCAAGUCCUGGAAGAAGUAUCCAGUAACUUUUCGAGGAUGAACAGAUUCAUAUAAAUCAGUUUUAAAAGGAAACUACUUAAAAAAAAUCCUUAUGUACUUUCGACUUUAGAUGAUUUACAUCCAGAAACUAAAAUAAAAGAAGUGAACAAGUAUAAUAAACAAAAAAAAACGAAGUUGAAAGGCUUUUAAAUGAGAUUCAGAUGAAAAAACAUUAAAAGAGAAAUAAGAUGUCCUAAAAAGGUUUACUUAAUCUGUUGACAUAAAUCGAAUUUUCCAUCAGCUUCGUCGACAACAGAAGACAAUAUUAAACUAGUGCCGAGUACAGGAAACCGAAGACAUCAAUAGAUCAUAAUAUAUACAGUCUAUAAUGAUUACUGUGUCUUAGACCGCUCGAGAAAAAAAUCAAUUACUUAAACGAUUUUUUAAGUAAUAUGAGGACAAAUUCUUCCACAAAUACCACUAAUGUAACUCCAGUUGAUUUCAUGUACUAUUGGAAAAUCAUUUAUGUGAUACCCAAGAAAAGUUUCUAGCCUUAGAAUCAUGCCUGAGAAAUGAACUGGAAUUUAACAAAUUAAUUCUGAUGCUUUUAUUAAUGAAUCUAAAAGUUCAGGAAAAAAUACACCAAAAGAUAGCGAGUUUAAGACAGCAUUAAGUAAUGCAUUUAAUCGUUCUAAAAACAUAUCUUGGCGAUGGAAAUGGUCGCCAGAAAAAGGAAAGCUUAACAAUUACUCAACAUGUUGUUCCUAAGAAAUGAACUUUUUUUUGAUAAUUCUAUUGUUAAUCAAUACUUAAGAUUUUUUUUUUUAUACUUCUUCUCAAUUUUUUCCCAUGCUCAUGUAUUGUUUUU